rnacentral:rRNA from 1 species
GACGUAGGGUGCGAGCGUUGUCCGGAAUUAUUGGGCGUAAAGGGCUCGUAGGCGGUUUGUCGCGUCGGGAGUGAAAUCCACUGGCUUAACUGGUGGCUUGCUUUCGAUACGGGCAGACUGGAGGUAUGCAGGGGAGAACGGAAUUCCUGGUGUAGCGGUGAAAUGCGCAGAUAUCAGGAGGAACACCGGUGGCGAAGGCGGUUCUCUGGGCAUGUCCUGACGCUGAAGAGCGAAAGUGUGGGGAGCGAACAGG